CACACUCACUGGAUCACAGCCGGACGGCUCGCGACGCCGUCACGGAAAAUAACAGCUGGACACAGACAAACGAGUCCCGCGAAUUGUAUUUUUAAACUGGAGAGACAGCUGACAGGAUGUCGUCAUCUGUAACCGUCACUCGCCACAGUUCUCAAGCGAGAGCAAAGGCAGCGAGGGGUGGUGUGAUGUCAUUUGCAACAAGACGGCUGAUACUAAUAUAGGCCUAAAAUAAAGGACAAUAAUGGCAUCAGCCAUUCAAGUUAUGAUCCUGGCAGAUCUACUACUAUCUGAAAAGUAGUCUCUGCAGAUUGUUUCAAGAUACACAAGAUGGAGCGUGGAGAGACGGGACAUGGACCACAGUUUUCAGCACCCACACCCCACA